GUGCUUGAUUCAGUGGCACAUAUACUAAAGUUGGAACAAUACAGAGAAUAUUAGCAUGACCCCUGCACAAGGAUGACAUGAAAAUCCAUGAAGAUUUCCAUAUUUUU